rnacentral:rRNA from 1 species
CCGCUCGCUCGCUCAGUUGCUCACAGCGCUAGCUCCACUCGCUCUCCCAGUCACUCUCCCAGAUCCGCUCGUCGGCGGCCCGCGUCCCCAUCGCCAGCCUCCCCUCUGCCACUCCCCCUCGACGUCGGUCUCCCCUCUGCCUCUCCCUCUCGACGUCGCCGGCCUCUUCCACCACCCGUCCUCCAGUCACAGUCUGUAUGCGCCGCUGAAAAAUUUGAUUUUUUUCCGCCGGUGACGAGCUUCUAUGCGGUGGAGGCGCGCGGGCGCUCGAUCUACGUGCGCCGGUGGAUCUACCCCUCCCCAGCUCCUACCUCCACCCCUACAGAAGGCGAAGAAGACUCGGCCCAGCUCCCUCCUCUCCCGGAUCCCCAGGCCCAGCACGACGUCGCCGGCGCCCGGGCGCUUGAAGAGGCGGAAUCGGAGCUGCUGCUGGUGGUGGAGGCCCCCGGGGGAGGCGCUGGGGGAGGAGGCCUCCGCCGCGUCCUUGGGCGGGCUGCCCAGGCCGUCAGUCCGCGGCGAGCGCAGGGAGCCACUAGUGGCGAACAAUUCCGUGGCGGCGGCGCCGGACUACGGGGACUACAGGGAGUUCCUGUCCCAUUACUGCAGGUGGGGUGUAGUUGAGGUCUGGGAGAUCCAUGUUAUCCAAGCAACUGAAAAGAACAUUUAAGGAUCUCUCCUGGCCAUGGAUCCAAGUACUGAAAUAGGGGUCUUCUCUCCUCUUAAGUAGAUAGCUCUAGGAGGAGCUGCAGGAGGUUUGGCAUUAGUUGGUGCCAUCACACUCAUUGUAGUGAUAUGCCUACCGCACCGCGGAAGGAAUUCAGAUUCUUCAGAGAGUAAUUCGUCCGGUCAAGCUCUUCCAGACAUGCAAGGAGCAACAUGUAUGACACUGGAGGAACUAAGGUCUGCUACAAAUAACUUCAGCAGCUCGAAUCUCGUCGGACAUGGAAUGUUCGGAGAGGUAUACAACGGUUUGCUCCAUGGAUAGGAUAGGUACUGCAGACAGACAGUGGGCCACUGUAUAUUGCCCUAACAUAGCAUGGCUGAAAUAGAAUCAGUUUUUUCUCUUCUAUUUUUCAGAUGAGAGACAGCUUUACAGAAAUGAAAAUCACACUCCAAAAAGGGUUUUCGUCGCAAAAUUAGGCAGAAAAGGUAGGCAUCCAUGAGUUGCUCAAACAAAUCCAAAAAUAAACCCUUUUUUCCAGCACAAUUAUAGCGGUUUGCUCCAUGUCCGCACAAUUAUAGCGGUUAAAAGGCGGCAUUCUCCUCCUAGCCAGGAAUUUCUUCAUGAGGUGCCAAAAUUUUCUCCUAGAGUAGUGGCAUGUUGUAAGAAAUCAAAACCUUGCUUCCUGAGAUCAAAACCAAUACAUGAACUCAUGGUUAUUGGUGGCCUUUUCUCCCCAGGCUAAUUACAUGUCGUCUAUCCGUCGUCGUCCCAAUAAUUUGAACAAAUUCUGAUGGAGUAUUCACUCGAAUCAUUGGCAGCAAUUAUCUCUUGAAUUACUCUUGUCUUGAAUUAUUGGCAACAAAUAUUUCUUUGAAUUACUCUUGUUUAUGAUCAUCAAAUUGUUUACUCAUAUGAGCAAGUCUUAGUUUAUGAUCAUCUGAUUGCUUAUGAUCAUCAAAUCGCAUUUUGCGACCAUUCCCGCGAGGACUACGAUUCGGAUUAUCUAAUGUCAUCCCCAAACAGAUGAACCUAGGCCAGCAGCUCCUGUGCAGCGGCGAGUACUUCAGCGGCAGCAGCUCCUGUGUGUGGUGAGUGCUUCAGCGGCAGCAGCUCCCCUGGGUGCGUGCGGGCACCAGCUCGCCUUCACCAGCAGCCAGCAGCAGAGCAGCAGCUCGACUCCACCAGCAGACAGCAGCAGAGCACCAGCCCGCCUCCACGAGCAGGCGACAGCAGAGCAUCACCUAGGCGUGCGCGGUCCAGGAGGAGCCCUAGGACGGCGUGGGUGGAGGUGGAGGCGGGGGCCGAGGCGGAGGUGGAGAGCGGGGACGAAGGCGGAGGCGGAGGUGGAGGCGGGGGCGGAGGCGGAGGUGGAGGGCAGGGGCGGAGACGGAGGUGGAGGGCGGGGCCGGAGGCGGAGGUGGAGGGCAGGGGCGGUGGCGGAGGUGGAAGACGAUCCAGCGACCUGAUUCAAAAUUUAAACUAAGGGUAUAAAUGUCCAUUUUCCCAUUUUCACCUGGUCGGAACAUUUGCCCCAGCGACCUACAUUUCGGUACAGAGGGAGUAGAAUUCAAUUGACGUAUAUUGUGGUUUCAGUGCGUCUGAAAAGGGAAUUGCUACAUGUCAGUCGGCGGAUCUUUUCUGAAAGAUCCGCCGCCUCAACAACCAUUAUAUGUGGCGACAUCAAGCGACCCCCCAUGCUCUCAUCAUUCCAACAAAGGCAAUCUUGCAGUGCUUCUGAAAAGGGAACUGCUACACGUCGGUCGGCGGAUCUUUUUUGAAAGAUCCGCCGCCUCAACAACCAUUACAUGUGGCGACAUCAAGUGACCCAACCAUGCUCUCAUCAUUUCAACAAAGGCAAUGUUGCAGUGCUUCUGAAAAGGGAACUGCUACGCGUCGGUCGGUGGAUCUUUUCUGAAAGAUCCGCCGCCUCAACAACCAUUACAUGUGGCGACAUCAAGUGACCCAACCAUGCUCUCAUCAUUUCAACAAAGGCAAUGUUGCAGAACCUUUUGCAACAAAGCUCAUGUUGCAAAAACUUUUGAACAG